rnacentral:lncRNA from 1 species
CCCCCCCCCCUCUCGGUUCCGAUCUCGGUAGCAGACGCGCCACCGUGAGCGGCGGCGGUGGUGCCAGACGACGAAGAAAGACAUAACAGAGAGAGAGAAAGAGGCAGGAGACGAGGAGAGAGAGAUACAUUAAGAAAGAGAAGGAGUGACGGCGGAGAGCCGCCGUCGUGCGGCGGCGUGGCGGUGGUCCUCUCAGUCCGACGGGUCACGUUCGUGAAAGAUUCACAUUCGGUUCCCAGUCAGACAUCACGGCUCGGUUUGACUCGGUCAAACCGAGUCAACUCAGUGUUCGGGUCAGUGGGUUGAUUCCGGUUCAGGUCAACAGUUGAACAACGGGAGACGGUUCAGAUGUAGAGAUCAGUUUGAUGUUCGAGUCAAUUCGGUUAAACCGAGUUAACUCAGUUUGGGCUGGGUCAAAUAGUCAAGGCAGUCAACAGCAGUCAACGCCCGGUCAACACGAAGAACCGGUAACAAAGUUAGAAGGAAUAUUGUAGAAUGCACGCUAGCAAGUCACGUCUUGGAAACGACAUUAUGAAGUCGUAUAUAGCUAGCUUUGCACAGGAAU